AUCCAUGUCUCAUGCAACACCCAAGGAGCUCUGGAUCUGGGAGGGGGAAUCCCACUGAAGCUGGCAUUUCCUUGAACUGUGUUGGACUUCAAUCUCCUGGCUCUGGGGUUGUGUAGAAGACUCUGUUCCCAUGAGCAGAGGCAAGACUUUCAUAUUGGACUAAAACAUAAGGAUGGAGACAGAGAUUGACUGGAAGAAUGAGAUUUGGGGACAAAAAUGCCAGGCCUGUCCUUGUUCUGUUAAUUGCUAAAACCAUAUUUGGAGUCAAUGAAGUGAAAUUCCUUAGGACAGUGUUGGGUACCACUAGUCACCAUGUUUAAGCCUGGCAAGCUGCUCUCUCCAGACAUGAUGGACUUGGUGAUCACUUCUGUGAGAGUUUUGGGAGCACAGCCUGAUAGGACUGGAGACCCCACCAGACUGCUCACCACUUUCUCACACUGAACCACCCCAGGACUCACAGUGCUGAGCCAGGAGACCCUGCUCUCUCUCUGACAUUGGAGAAAGCUGUCCACACCAGGACAUUUCUAAUCCUACUCAGCUAUAAUUCAAGUGUACAUGGAAAAUGGUUUACCCACCAAGGGAGUUUUGUAUUACAGUGCUGCGCUGCUUGUGUUGGAAGCCAAAUUAAUAGUAAGGCUUGGCCAAGUUCUGCAUAGGUUGAAACCUGACUUUUGGCUCAGUUUUGGUCUGACAAAGAGCAAGAUUUUGGUGUCUCCAUCAGCAGCUUUGCUUUUGGGACUGUUGUUCCCAAUCCAGACACGGGUGGCUUGCAUUCAGACUGAGGAUACCUGUGGGUCUUGUGAGUCAUGUUGAGAGCAUUACAUGGGGUUGGGCUUAAAUAGAUGAAAAGUGAGAAUUUGUGAGACUUUGGCAGCCUAUGCAAUGAAUUUGUAAUGGCAGAGGUAGGAUGAAUUCCACCACUGCAGUACAUGGCUGUUCCAGGGGACAUGCAGAAGUUCAGGCUAAUGUACAGCUCUGCCUGUUGUGUGGUGACUGAUGGAUUACACUGAAUCACCCCAGAGUUGUGCUUGGAGUUUCUCAUUUCAAUAAUCUACUAACUCACAGAAAUCAAUGGGAGGCUGAAACUGAUGUUUUUAAUGUGAGCUGGGUUGGCUAUUAAAAUCCAACAUUGUUUGAGAUCAUCUCUCUUACAUCCCUCUGAGAUCAAAGAAAUUUACAAGUGCAAUCACACAUAGAUAUGAUAUGAUUAAUACUCCAAGGUUCAGAUCACAGUUCAGAUCUCUCUUGAGGAAAAGAUCUUUUUAUAUGCAAUAUCCAGAAGUGGUAGAAGAUAAUUUCCCAAGAGGAAUCCUUGGUUCCUAAAAUCACUUUCUUCUUGGUUCACCUUUCCUUAAAGCCAUUUGAGAAAGGGAUUUGGCCUACAUAGACUGGAAACUGCAGAAUGUUUUCUGAAAUGAAAUAGAAAUGCACUGAAACACAGUAAUACCAAGCUGGCCCAGCAAAUAGGGACUUGGAGUUGGGAUACCAGAGUGUAAUUCUCUUUCCUCACACUGUGAUACUUCGGGCAAGUCAUCAAAUAAAUACCUAAAAAUAUGAGUCUUAGUCCCACUGUACCCCAGAUUUCCAUUUGUAACUAGAGAAAACACCAUUUUCUUUGAUCACAGUGGUGUGGUGAAGCAGAGAUUUGUUGGAGUGUCAUGAUACUACAGUAAUGGGGACUACCAUCAAUAAAGCUCAUGUUAUAGGAAAGUCUACUAGCAAAGAAUUUAUAACUAGCAAAUUGAGGAAAGGAAAUACAGUAGUGAAAUGUUCAGAACUGCUAACUCUGUGUUUAAAGGUUUGGGAAAAUGCCUAGAGCUGUAAGUAGAUGCCAGAGAAAUUAAUUAUGAUAAUAAAACUUCUGGGAAGAGGUGGAAAUGCUGGAAUGAUCAAAUCAUGUGUAAUUAUGAAGAAUAUUUUCUGUCCUCUUGGUAACACAGAGCUGCAAGGAAUGUGUGUGUUGCCUCCAGAAAUGUGAGGGGCCAGGAUGUCAUUCUUCCAGAAACAAAACAGACAAGAACUGAAAGGAAAAAAAAAAAGGGGGGGGGGAGAAGAAAAAGAAAAGAAAAGCCAAACCAAACAAAUGCCUCACAGGUCACGAUGCAGCAGCCAGAACUUUGAAAGGCAGCCAGGGGAAAUUCCCUGAGAAGCUUCCCUCUGCUCACGUAGGAAUUCCUUGCCCCUAACCUUUGCUUGGGAUCAGCUGAAUCAUGUUAUAUGAUCUUAUUUUUCAUCCCAGCUGUACACCUCCAGGCUGCACACAUCCAAGUGGAUUAUCAGGGGCAAACAAGCCUCUACUUUUCCUUUCUUUCCUCUGGCCCUCAUGUUCAUGGUUGGCGGUUUUUAUCCAACCUAGUGGCCUCUGCUGGAGCCACAUUGGUCUCAAAGGCUGUUGGGCAGUACCUACAAGACCAGAAAUGCUUGCUGCAGCUGAGAGCCAUGCAAUUGCUCCUUCACUGACACAUUUAAAGACAAUAUUUGCUGCUCACUGCAAAAAAUUACUCGUAAAAACUCUGCCCUGAUGGCAAGUUGACAGCACAAUUACCUAAACUCUCUGUACAGACACUCCAGGUCACUGGUGACUGUUUAGGCUGUGCUGUUUCAAGAUGAAUUAAUUGCCUCCUGGGUUUCCCCUGGCUCUGCAAGGCUUUACUGGAUUCACAC